rnacentral:rRNA from 1 species
ACGAACGCUGGCGGCGUGCUUAACACAUGCAAGUCGAACGGAAAGGCCCUGCUUUUGUGGGGUGCUCGAGUGGCGAACGGGUGAGUUACACGUGAGUAACCUGCCCUUGACUUUGGGAUAACUUCAGGAAACUGGGGCUAAUACCGGAUAGGAGCUCCUGCUGCAUGGUGGGGGUUGGAAAGUUUCGGCGGUUGGGGAUGGACUCGCGGCUUAUCAGCUUGUUGGUGGGGUAGUGGCUUACCAAGGCUUUGACGGGUAGCCGGCCUGAGAGGGUGACCGGCCACAUUGGGACUGAGAUACGGCCCAGACUCCUACGGGAGGCAGCAGUGGGGAAUAUUGCACAAUGGGCGGAAGCCUGAUGCAGCAACGCCGCGUGCGGGAUGGCGGCCUUCGGGUUGUAAACCGCUUUCGCCUGUGACGAAGCGUGAGUGACGGUAAUGGGUAAAGAAGCACCGGCUAACUACGUG